rnacentral:lncRNA from 1 species
UCAUUAACAUAGAUUUACACUUUAUUUUAAAUUUGCAUCCUGAGAUAAUAAAAUUUUAUCUGACAAGUGAACAAUGACAGAAGCAGCAGUGAAAGUUUCGGAGAGGCAGGUAUCCUUCAUUUUGGCACAGCUGUAUAUAGAUUGAGUUUUUCCAGGGAAGUCAUUCCUGGACUCAAGGGAGAAAAAAUGAAUUCAUUCCACAGGCUAUGUAACAAUGCAAGAUGCAUGAAAGUUCUUAGUUUGGAUGAACAUAUCCGCUAUUAUUCUUUUCUGGUAAAGCUGUCCCAACAGGAAUCCUCUGACAAAAAGUUGAAAUCCUAGGCUUCUCCACCAGAUAUUUUUAUCAAUGCCCACUCUCUAGUUACCUGGAUAUCCUGUUCUUGCAGCCAGAUUCAUAUUUGUAUGUGGUUAGUCCAAGGAGGGCAAAUUCGCUCGUAGAUUAUAUACUUUCAAACACUUGUUACUUGUUUCAAAGUCCAGGCAUUAAAACAAUUUUACACUAUUUGCGUACUAGAAAAAAUGGAAAAUAAAAAGUCGAGAUAAAAACAAAGAAAUAAAAGAACAUUUGAGAAAUUAUUGCCUUGAUUCAUCAUGUUGAAUUUAUACACAGAACUACUUUAAGAGUCAGAAAUUGAUAUUUAGUCCAAUGCUAGAAUAUGACAUUAUAACAUUUUCCACAUUUGUUCAAAGGCUUACACGUUUUUAAACUUUAUUCAAAUUUCAUCAAAAAUGGUAGAUAAAACAGUUUGAUUGCUCAGAUAUUA